rfam:Candidatus Buchananbacteria bacterium RIFCSPHIGHO2_01_FTLL_39_14 rifcsphigho2_01_scaffold_3378, whole genome shotgun sequence.
UAUUUUGAGAGUUUGAUCCUGGCUCAGGAUGAACGCUGGCGGCGUGUCUAAGGCAUGCAAGUCGAGCGGUCGUGUCUUACUUUCGUUCGACACUCCCUAAAUUCAAAAGUCAAAAAUCAAAAUUCAAAAUUAUGGAGUCCCGGUCGCCUUCGGCGACCGAGGACGAAAUAAUUACUUAAAUUUUGAGAUUUAAGAUUUGAGAUUUUAUAUCUGGAGUGGCGAGCGGUAGCGAGACACGACAGCGGCAAACGGGUGAGUAACACAUUGGUAACCUACCUCUAACACGGGCAUAACCCGGCGAAAGCUGGGCUAAUUCCCGAUACAUUCGGUUUACGCGAGUAGGCCGAGUAAAGGCGCAAGUCGGUUAGAGAGGGGCCUAUGGCCUAUCAGCUUGUUGGUGAGGUAAUGGCUCACCAAGGCAACGACGGGUAGCGGGCGUGAGAGCGCGACCCGCCUCACUGGGACUGAGACACUGCCCAGACUCCUACGGGAGGCUGCAGUCAAGAAUAUUCCCCAAUGGGCGAAAGCCUGAGGGAGCGACGCCGCGUGACUGAAGAAGCCCUUCGGGGUGUAAAGGUCUUUUCUUAGGGACGAAGUCGUGUUGCUUCGCAACACUUAAGUCAAAAUUCAAAUCUCAAAAGUCAAAAGUAAUGCGGGUCGCCUGGCCUGCUCGGCAGGCCUUCAGCGACCUACCAAAAUUUUGAUUUUUGAUUUUUAACUUUUGAAUUUGAGUGCCGCGAAGCGGCACGAUUGACGGUACCUGAGGAAUAAGAGGUUGCUAACUCUGUGGCAGCCCCGCACCAAUUUUUGGUGUGAGGUGGGCUGGUGGCGCAGAGCUCUCAUAGUAAUAUGAGAUAGGAAAAUCUCGCUAUAUGCUGGAAAAUUUUAUUUCGGCCGCUGGUAAAAUGCCCGAAGAAUUCGGGACACGGAAUAAAACAAUCAGCAGGAAACCUUGUCUAAAAAACAGGGGCUCCUCAGAGACUACACGCGAGACUCCCGAGGUAAAAUCGGGAUGAUGAUAUAGUCCAAGUUCCAAACCAAAAAUUGGUGCGGGGCCAGCAGCAGCGGUAAUACAGAGACCUCAAGCGUUAUCCGGAUUUAUUGGGCGUAAAGAGUCUGUAGGCGUUUCGAAAAGUUUUUCGUUAAAUCCCGAUGCUUAACAUCGGACCAGCGAAAAAAACUUUCGGGAUAGAGGCUGGAAGAGGCAGAUGGAAUUGCCGGUGUAGCGGUAAAAUGCGUUAAUAUCGGCAAGAACACCAAAUGCGAAAGCUUUCUGCUAGAACAGUCCUGACGCUGAGAGACGAAAGCGUGGGGAGCGAAUGGGAUUAGAUAAACCCGUCACCGCUCGUAAAAUAUAUAGUGACAAAAGGUGUCCCUCCCGAUGGUGACGUCGGGAUGCGCAUCUAGCUGUAUCGGGGAAACUCCUUGGUCUAAGAGUUACUGGCUUACCAAGGACAAUCCCGAGGGAAGUCUCUAGUCUUUUGAUAAAAAGGGCUGGAUGACCCCGUAGAGACUAUGAAGUUGAUUGUGACAGAGGGUGUCAUUAACUGAUUAAAAUUAUGAACAAAUAUACACCCUUGUCUAAAGAAGCAAAAAUGAUAAUUUUAGGUUCGCUCUUGGGCGAUGGCUCGCUUAAAUUGCAUCCUAAAUACAGAAAUGCCCGUUUUUCUUUUCGUCAUAGUGAAAAACAAUCCGACUAUUUUUUCUGGAAAUGUAAAAAAUUAAAAGAAAUCUUCGGACCUAAAUAUUACUGGCGACAAAGCAAAAAUGGCAAAGAUGGGUGGGGCAUAGCUAAACUCAGGUUUCAAAGCAAGGCAUUAUCGGCUUUAACUGACUUGUUUAAUCUCACUCAUAAUAAAGGCAAGUUAUUGAUCAGAAGAAAAUGGCUUAAUCUGUUAACGCCGUUGUCGCUUGCCGUCUGGUGGCAAGAUGACGGCUCGAUUAUCGCUAAUGGUAGGAAAGGAGUAUUAUGCACCGAUGGUUUUACUCCGCCGGAAGUAAAAUUACUCCAAAAAUAUCUGCAAAAAGUUUGGCAUAUCCAAACUAAAGCGGCGCCAAAAAGCGCCAAGGAACCAAACCGACUUCGAUUAUGGUUUCGUUCCUCAGAACAGUUGCAGUCGUUCUUACGAAUCAUUUUGCCGUAUGUGGCAGUGGAACAAAUGAUUUCUAAAUUCAUCCUUCUGUAUCAUAAUCAUCAACUUCAACAACGCUGGAUCUCUGAAAUUGUUCGGUUAUCCCAUUUUUCUUUGGUGAUAGUAGAAAAAUAUUACCAGCAAAAAAGGAAAAAAUGGAAAAAAUACCGAGCACCAGAGAAUGAUAUAGUCCAAUCUUUAGAGUAAUUUAAAGUUUGACCCCAGUAGUCCACGCCGUAAACGAUGGAUGCUUGACAUUGGCAGUAUCGACCCUGCCAGUGUCGCUUAAUCAAGUUAACACCUUAAGCAUCCCGCCUGGGUAGUACGGCCGCAAGGCUAAAACUCAAAGGAAUUGACGGGGACCCGCACAAGCGGUGGAGCAUGUGGUUUAAUUCGACGGUAAGCGAGGAACCUUACCAGGGCUUGACAUGACGCUGCAAGCUCCCGAAAGGGAGUCGCCUUCGAGGGUGCGUCACAGGUGCUGCAUGGUUGUCGUCAGCUCGUGUCGUGAGAUGUACCGUUAAGUCGGGUAACGAGCGCAACCCCUAUGCUAUGUUAAAUCACUCAUAGCGAACUGCCCCCCACUGAGCGCAUUUAUUUCGUAAACGCUAAUUUCGAAAAUCAAAAAUCAAAUCUCAAAGAUUAAAGAAGUCGCCUGCGGCGACACCAAAUUUUUGAGAUUUAAGAUUUGAGAUUUAAUAUUAGCACUGAGCGGAGUGAAGUGCGUUGAGUGGGGGGAGGAAGGUGGGGAUGACGUCAAAUCAGCAUGGCUCUUACGUCCUGGGCGACACACGUGCUACAAUGGCCGGUACAAAGGGUUGCUAAGUCGUAAGACGGAGCUAAUCCCAUUAAAGCCGGUCCCAGUUCGGAUUGAGGUCUGCAACUCGACCUCAUGAAGUCGGAAUCGCUAGUAAACGCAUAUCAGCCACGGUGCGUUGAAUACGUUCUCGGGUCUUGUACACGAGUUGCCUGGCAGCUUU